rnacentral:tRNA from 1 species
GAGGGUAUAGAUCAGUGGUAGAGUGUGUGCUUAGCAUGCACGAGGUCCUGGGUUCAAUCCCUAGUACCUCUG